UACAGAGGGUGCAAGCGUUAAUUGGAUUUACUGGGCGUAAAGCGCGCGUAGGUGGCCAAUUAAGUCAAAUGUGAAAUCCCCGAGCUUAACUUGGGAAUUGCAUUCGAUACUGGUUGGCUAGAGUAUGGGAGAGGAUGGUAGAAUUCCAGGUGUAGCGGUGAAAUGCGUAGAGAUCUGGAGGAAUACCGAUGGCGAAGGCAGCCAUCUGGCCUAAUACUGACACUGAGGUGCGAAAGCAUGGGGAGCAAACAGG
rnacentral:rRNA from 1 species